AACGCGAAGAACCUUACCUACCCUUGACAUGUGACGAAUCUGGGUGAAAGCCUGGAGUGCCGAAAGGAGCGUCAACACAGGUGCUGCAUGGCUGUCGUCAGCUCGUGUCGUGAGAUGUUGGGUUAAGUCCCGUAACGAGCGCAACCCUUAUCCUUCGUUGCCAUAUCGAAAGAUGGAACUCGAAGGAGACUGCCGGUGACAAACCGGAGGAAGGUGGGGAUGACGUCAAGUCAUCAUGGCCUUUAUGGGUAGGGCUACACACGUGCUACAAUGGGGCGUACAGAGGGAAGCGAACCUGCGAAGGGGAGCGAAUCCUAGAAAACGUUUCGUAGUCCGGAUCGGAGUCUGCAACUCGACUCCGUGAAGUUGGAAUCGCUAGUAAUCGCAAAUCAGAAUGUUGCGGUGAAUACGUUCCCGGGCCUUGUACACACCGCUGUA
rnacentral:rRNA from 1 species